GACGAACCGCCCUAACGUUGUUCGGAAUCACUGGGCUUAAAGGGCGCGUAGGCGGGCAAGCAAGUCCGGGGUGAAAUCUUUCGGCUCAACCGGAAAAGUGCCUUGGAUACUGCUUGUCUAGAGGGAGGUAGGGGCAUGUGGAACUUCUGGUGGAGCGGUGAAAUGCGUUGAUAUCAGAAGGAACGCCGGUGGCGAAAGCGACGUGCUGGACCUCUUCUGACGCUGAGGAGCGAAAGCUAGGGGAGCAAACGGG
rnacentral:rRNA from 1 species